GCUCACGAGGAACAAGAAAGCCCUCGUACCCAGCUAAUGGAGAGGUUCUGAGAUUGAAGAAGGCCAGGAUCUUUACGGAGGAUGACCAGAGCCUGCCUGGAUGGAAAUGCAUUCUGGAAGCAUCAAGGGAAAGGAAAGCCAAUGAUUUCCUGAGACUCAUGUCUGAGGAAUAUGGAUUUAAAUGAAAAGGUAGGGAUGGACAAUGGACAGUGACCCACCUUUUAACGGGCAAAUGAUGAGAGCACUGCCUUUAGAAUCAGAUCUGGAUUUCAGUCCUAGUUCCACCUCCUGCUGCUUGUAUAACACAGAUUGGUUGCUUAAACUCUCCAAUUCUUACUUUGCUUCUCUGUAAACUGCGGAUGUUAUUAAUACCUACCUCAGUGACUAUGGUGGAAAUUAAAUGAAAUAAUGGUAGUGGAGCUCUUAACCUCCAGUUUGUCCUUAGUUUGUUAAUUACCUAAAU